rnacentral:rRNA from 1 species
GUGGGGAAUAUUGGUCAAUGGGCGAGAGCCUGAACCAGCCAAGUAGCGUGCAGGAUGACGGCCCUAUGGGUUGUAAACUGCUUUUAUCGGGGGAUAAAGUGAGGGACGCGUCCCUUUUUGUAGGUACCCGAUGAAUAAGGACCGGCUAAUUCCGUGCCAGCAGCCGCGGUAAUACGGAAGGUCCGGGCGUUAUCCGGAUUUAUUGGGUUUAAAGGGAGCGCAGGCCGAUGGUUAAGCGUGACGUGAAAUGUAGCCGCUCAACGGCUGAACUGCGUCGCGAACUGGCCGUCUUGAGUGAGUUCGAUGUGGGCGGAAUUCGUGGUGUAGCGGUGAAAUGCUUAGAUAUCACGAAGAACUCCGAUUGCGAAGGCAGCCCACAAGGCCUUUACUGACGCUAAAGCUCGAAGGUGCGGGUAUCGAACAGG